AGUCAAUAAUCUCAGUUUUCUGAUUCAGGGUAGAAAGGGGGAAAAUCGGAGACGGAGACGGAGACUGAGACUAGAAGGAAGAGAGAGCAAUGAAAUCGCCGAGAUGGGGAUAUGUUAGAAUUAUAUCAGGAACUAUUUUUGGAGGCAUUUUUGGAUUCUAUCUUAUGCAUCGCGCUGAACUUCAGUACAAGGAAAUGUGGAACGAGAGAUUGAAGAAGUAUGAGGAGGAGCUCAAAAUGAAGCAAAGUAUGGAGGCGCAUACCCCCACUGAGUUGUCAGGAGAUCAUCUUGCGAGAUAGACUCCCCUUGUUGUGUGAUGCCAUCUGAGAGCAAAAAAACAUGGUUGUCAAAGUGUACCUACCGAUGUGUUUGUUAUACUAUAAAAACUGUGAGGACAAGCAUUUCAUGGAGAAAUUGAAGUAUAAAUGGUGUUUGAUUAUGCAGUUUGGGCGUCUACAAACCACUUUCUCUCCCCUUCUAAUUAGUUUACAUACAUCAUGUACCUCAUUUCUAGAAGUUUAUAUCCUCUAUAUCUAGACUGAAAAGUAUCCUGAGAUUGACAGCUUAAUUUAUUUCCUCUGAAGAAAAGGUAUUCAGCAUCUUGUUCUUUGAAUUCUCAAAGUGGAACUGAUACAAAUUGGUGCCUUCAUUCUUGAGAACUGAGUAAGAAAUUCACUUGUUUUUGAAGAAAGUAUUUUCCAUGAAAA